rnacentral:lncRNA from 1 species
AACUCCUUGCCCCCGGGCAAUAUUCCUGCCUCAGCCUCCCAAAGUGUUGGGUUUACAGGUAUGAUCCACUGUGCCCAUCCUGGAUGCAGACUUUAAGCAGAGUCACAUCAACAAGAAGAGCUGUGAAGGUCAGGGCAUGACCCACAGAUGCCCAAACACUGCACUGGAGGUCCAGGAAGAUUCUGCUGACAACGCAACCCUGAGCCAAGAUCUGAAGGAUAAGAGGGAGCUUAUAACAUGGAAGAAGGAACAGUAUUCCUGGCAAGUGGAACAGCAUGUGCAAAGAUCCAGAAAGCCCAGGACAUAACAGAGCCGCAGUGCCUGCCCUGAUCCACGCGCACACAGAUCUAGCCCAGGAACAAGCCCAUCCACGGAGUGAGCAGCUGACAGGGGAGCCACGAACAGCCUGGAGAGCUGAGCAUGGGCCUGCUCCACACUCCAGCGGGGCCCGAGGCCCCCGGGAACUCUACCCCUCCUGGCAGCCUCACAGAACCUGCUGCAUCCAUCUCAAAAGGCAUACCUCCUCCAGGAAGCCUUCCCCGCUGCUCAGAGGUCUUAAAUCCGGGGUCUGCACUCACAAACUGUGCAGCCUACACCAGCUUCUGGGGGACAGCAGAACACUGUGGGGGGCCUGGCACAGUCCCUGGCACACGGUAGGCACUCAUCGAGCCCCUGCCAGCCCCUCUACUCCUGACUUCUGAGGCAACAGGAAAUGACCCGCCACCUUGUUCUCACAGAGCCUCCCUGCCAGCCCAGAUGGUCACAAGGGCCUCCUGGGAUGCUGCCCACCUUGGCAGCCAGGCCCCUCCGGAGGGGCCAGUCUGGGCCUGACACCCCCGAACACCAACCCCCUGGGCAGAGCCUGCCUGUGCCUGGGUGAGGAACCCUGCAGUCUCCUUGCCACACAAGGCCUGGGUCUGCCUUGGGGCCCAGGCUGCACCCUCUCCGACCCCCAGGCCCAAUGUCUGACCUGUGCCCACCUGACUCAACCUGGCUACUGUUCAGCAAGUUUACAAAGUGUUCUCAGUCUGAACAGGAACCGUUUUCAAUCCUUUAUUUCAGAAAGGAGAGCCAGGAGAACUGGGGACUUAGAAAAUACAGAUCCUAAACUCAAAAGUCCCUGC